AUGGUUUGCCUUCCAAAAAGCAAGGGUGGGUUAGGAGUUCUGAACUUGAGAGUGCAGAAUGAGGCCCUCCUCACGAAAUUCCUUCAUAAGUUUUAUAACCAUCAUGAUAUUCCGUGGGUUGGCUUGAUAUGGGACUCUUAUUACCAUGAAUCUGUGCCUCAUACAACUUCUCUUUGUGGCUCAUUCUGGUGCAAGGAUGUGUUCAAGCUCUUUUCAAAAUACUGCCAGUUUGCUAAGCCUUCUCUUGGCAAUGGAAGAUCCAUAAUGUUCUGGAAUGAUACUUGGAUUUUGGAGCUUAAUGGCUCAUCCAUUAGUCAAAGCUUCCCAAGACUAUUCUCAUAUGUUCUUGAUGGGCAACUCUCUGUGGCACAAGUUUUGGGGCAUGAUCUGCUGGAAAACUUUCAUCUACCUCUGUCCACACAAGCUUUUCAGGAAUUGCAGUCUUUGCAACAGAUUUUAGUUAAUUAUCAGAUCUCCGCAAUGAAUGAUCAGUGGAUUUGGCUUUUCAAUAAGGGGUGCUAUAGACCCAAAUCAUACUAUAUUCAAGUGCAUAGUGUUGUGGUUGAUCCUUUAUUCCCAUUGAUAUGGAAGACUUCAUGUACCUUGAGAGAUAGGCUAAACACCAGGGAUAUGCUCCAGCGCAGGCAUUGGCAUGUGGAUGAUCAUACUUGUGUUCUUUGUCCUCAUUUAAUUCAUGAGGAUGUUUGGCACCUUUUCUUCUCCUGUAAUUUCAGUCAAAAUGUAUGGAAUUAUUUGCAAAUCUCAUGA
rnacentral:rRNA from 1 species